AGAGUUUGAUCAUGGCUCAGAUUGAACGCUGGCGGCAGGCCUAACACAUGCAAGUCGAGCGGCAGCGGGAAAGUAGCUUGCUACUUUUGCCGGCGAGCGGCGGACGGGUGAGUAAUGCCUGGGGAUCUGCCCAGUCGAGGGGGAUAACAGUUGGAAACGACUGCUAAUACCGCAUACGCCCUACGGGGGAAAGCAGGGGACCUUCGGGCCUUGCGCGAUUGGAUGAACCCAUGUGGGAUUAGCUAGUCGGUGGGGUAAUGGCUCACCAAGGCGACGAUCCCUAGCUGGUCUGAGAGGAUGAUCAGCCACACUGGAACUGAGACACGGUCCAGACUCCUACGGGAGGCAGCAGUGGGGAAUAUUGCACAAUGGGGGAAACCCUGAUGCAGCCAUGCCGCGUGUGUGAAGAAGGCCUUCGGGUUGUAAAGCACUUUCAGCGAGGAGGAAAGGUUGGUGCCUAAUACGCAUCAACUGUGACGUUACUCGCAGAAGAAGCACCGGCUAACUCCGUGCCAGCAGCCGCGGUAAUACGUAGGGGGCAAGCGUUGUCCGGAAUUACUGGGCGUAAAGCGCGUGUAGGCGGGACGGCAAGUCGGACGUGAAAGGCUCGGGCUCAACCC
rnacentral:rRNA from 1 species